GAUUAACGCUAGCGGCAGGCAUAAUACAUGCAAGUUGAACGGCAGCACAGGUAUCAAUACUGGGUGGCGAGUGGCGCACGGGUGCGUAACACGUAUGCAACCUACCCUAUACAGGCGAAUAACCUUUAGAAAUGAGGGCUAAUACGCCGUAGUAUUACAGAUGGGCAUCUAUUUGUAAUUAAAUAUUUAUCGGUAUAGGAUGGGCAUGCGUCCCAUUAGUUAGUUGGUAAGGUAACGUCUUACCAAGACGAUGAUGGGUAGGGGAUCUGAGAGGACUUACCACCGCACUGGUACUGAGACACGGACCAGACUCCAACGGGAGGCAGCAGUAAGGAAUAUUGGGCAAUGGCCGCGAGGCUGACCCAGCCAUGCUGCGUGCAGGAAGACGGCCUUAUGGGUUGUAACCUGCUUUUAUACGGGAAUAAUAGAGUGUACGCGUACAUUUAUGCAAGUAUCGUAUGAAUAAGCAUCGGCUAACUCCGUG
rnacentral:rRNA from 1 species